rnacentral:rRNA from 1 species
UGCCUAAUACAUGCAAGUCGAGCGGUAAGGCUUCCACAAUUUGCUGAACCGAGAUAGGUCGUGACUACAGAAGUAGUCGCAUCACAAAUGAAGUGAUGAGUGGCCAUUCUCAUUAAAGUUAAGCAAAGUGUGGAAGUACACGAGCGGCGGACGGCUGAGUAACGCGUAGGAACGUACCCCAAAGUGAGGGAUAAGCACCAGAAAUGGUGUCUAAUACCGCAUGUGAUCUAAGGAUUAAAGCUUUAUGCGCUUUGGGAACGGCCUGCGUUUGAUUAGCUUGUUGGUGAGGUAAAAGCUCACCAAGGCGAUGAUCAAUAGCUGGUCUGAGAGGAUGAUCAGCCAGACUGGGACUGAGACACGGCCCAGACUCCUACGGGAGGCAGCAGUAGGGAAUUUUCCACAAUGGGCGAAAGCCUGAUGGAGCAACGCCGCGUGCAGGAUGAAUGUCUUCGGAUUGUAAACUGCUUUUAUCUGUGACGAUUAUGACGGUAGCAGAUGAAUAAGGAUCGGCUAACUCCGUGCCAGCAGCCGCGGUCAUACGGAGGAUCCAAGCGUUAUCCGGAAUUACUGGGCGUAAAGAGUUGCGUAGGUGGCAAAGUAAGUAGAUAGUGAAAUCGUUCGGCUCAACCGAAUAUCCAUUAUCUAAACUGCUUAGCUAGAGGAUGAGAGAGGUUAUUGGAAUUCCCAGUGUAGGAGUGAAAUCCGUAGAUAUUGGGAGGAACACCGAUGGCGUAGGCAGAUAACUGGCUCAUUCCUGACACUAAGGCACGAAAGCGUGGGGAGCAAACGGGAUUAGAUACCCCGGUAGUCCACGCCGUAAACUAUGGAUGCUAGCUGUUAGAGGUAUCGACCCCUCUAGUAGCGAAGCUAACGCGUUAAGCAUCCCGCCUGUGGAGUACGGUCGCAAGACUAAAACAUAAAGGAAUUGACGGGGACCCGCACAAGCGGUGGAGCGUGUUGUUUAAUUCGAUGGUAAGCGAAGAACCUUACCCAGGCUUGACAUCCUUGGAAUUUCUCCGAAAGGAGAGAGUGCUUCGGAACCAAGUGACAGGUGAUGCAUGGCCGUCGUCAGCUCGUGUCGUGAGAUGUUUGGUUAAGUCCAUCAACGAGCGCAACCCUUAUAGUUAGUUGUAUUUUUCUAGCUAGACUGCCCUGGUAACAGGGAGGAAGGAGGGGAUGAUGUCAGGUCAGUAUCUCCCUUACGUCUGGGGCUACAAACACGCUACAAUGGCCGGUACAAAGGGCUGCCAAGUCGCGAGACGGAGCAAAUCCCAUCAAAGCCGGUCUCAGUUCGGAUAGCAGGCUGAACUCGCCUGCUUGAAGCUGGAAUCGCUAGUGACGGUAAGUC